UACGUAGGGUGCGAGCGUUAAUCGGAAUUACUGGGCGUAAAGCGUGCGCAGGCGGUGAGCUGUGUCCGAUGUGAAAGCCCCGGGCUUAACCUGGGAAUGGCAUUGGAAACUGGCUCGCUGGAGUGUGGCAGAGGGGGGUGGAAUUCCGCGUGUAGCAGUGAAAUGCGUAGAGAUGCGGAGGAACACCGAUGGCGAAGGCAGCCCCCUGGGCUAACACUGACGCUCAUGCACGAAAGCGUGGGAGC
rnacentral:rRNA from 1 species